rnacentral:lncRNA from 1 species
GGUUUCUGAGGGAAUUUAACAUUAGAUUAUGUCAAAAUUCCACUUUCAAUCAUCCUCUUAUUUUCUCCAGGCCCAUAUUCAAUACUCCUAUCAUAUACACCGUGUACUCUGCUAUCUCCACUGAGCGGAUUCCGCAGCACUUUUUUGUGUUUUGGCAGCCGGAAGUGACGCGCUUUCUGCGCGCGUCGGCCCCGCCCCUCGAGCCCCCUCUUGGGAGGGGCGCACUGCUCUCCUGUGGUGACCGCCGGAGGUGGGCCGAAGGGCGAGAAGAUGGGGAAAUUGGCCGCAAACGUGGAGAAGGUGUGGAAGCCUUCGCGGAAGGAUGGGUCCUUGGAUGUACAUCUACUGCUAACGAGGUCACCAUGGCAGUACCACUCAGCCCCAGUCCCGGGGCUGCAGUGAAUGUUGUGGAGUUCAAGGAGUAUAAGUGCUCUUGGGUGGGAGAGAAUAAACUGCAACUUGAAGACCGCAGAUCAAGUUCUGUUAGACCUGAAGCAGCUGUUGGCUCCCUAGACACCAAAGUGCAGAAAUGUGGAGGUGUAAAGUACAAAGAUGAUGUGGAGUCUCUGCUUGGGGAGAAGCCGCAGCCCAAAGAGCAGCAGCUGUCUGCGGAGCUUCCCCUGACCGAGCAGCUCAGGGUGUCCACGUUGCUCAUUCGAGAGCAGAAAUGGGAGCUCUCUGAGUUAACCAAGAAGCUGAAAGAAGGGAGAGCAGUGUCAUUGCUGCUGAAGGAGUCUCUGGAGGUCCACCUCAGUCGAGGUCACCCUGACACUGAGCACAGCUGGCAACAGGGACUGGCUGCAGGGUGCAGGCUGGCAGAGCAGCUCGUCCACAUGCUCAAGCCAGGUGAGGAGACAUCAGGCCCUAGUUUCACUGAGCUGUAAUUACGGGUCACUACAGUCACAGGGUGACUUGUUUGAUGAGCUGUCCUGGCGCCCGUGUCCUUUAGAGCUGUGGCAAAUUCAGGAGUGGCCCUGUGGGAACACAGGGGAUGAAUACACAGCAUGGAGGUCACAGCAUCCCAGUGUGCUUUGUCCCUGAUGGAACCUGGCCUCUGUCUUGAGGCAGCAGCAUCCCGUCACAUUUUAAAGCCAUGAAGGGGAAUGUGGCAGGAGGCAGCUCAUCAGAAUACAUAUCGUUCUGGACUAAGAAAAUUUCCCAAGCUCCAGCCUGACGGCUUUCUGUACUCAGUGUGUGACUGAUCACUUCAUCUUUCCUGAAUUCCUGUCUCCUGAUGUACAGAAAAGGGAUUGCGUGGUCUUGUUCACUCUCUUAUGCAGGAAGAGAAUUGUCAAAAUGCACUUAGGAAAGAGAACAACCCUUUUGCCCCUGGGGUUGGUUUAGACCCUCGAUCCAGUAGCACCUGGGAGACUUCAGCACCUCCCUCAGAGAGAAUUUCCCCGUCCCAACACAGCCAGCCUGCUGUGUUUCCUUCCCUGUGAGUGAGGAGCCACAGUGAUAGUUACUGGUAACAAGACUGCAGUGUCUGUCAGGUUUACUCUGUCAGGCCCUCUCCAGUGUCCUGCAGAACGGUUCGCUGCCCUAAAAGUCCACUGUGUCCACCCAAGUAUCCAUCCCUCCCUCACCCAGAUCCCCGAAGACCCAGUCUCCGAGUAUCAUCCCUGAUGCGGUUUGCAAAGAUUUCCUCCCGGCAUGUGGCUCACCUUUGAGCGGUCUCAGCAGUGUCUUUCUUCAUAGAGCAGAGGUCAGAUUUGUCACAGUCCAACUUACUCCUUCUUUUCUUUUGUGGACUGCCCUCUUGUUCUGGCUAGAGAUGCCCCUGAGGCAGUUGACAGAGAUUUUCUUCUUUGUUGUCUUUUCUCUUCUGAAAAAUGUUUUUAAUCUUGUAUCUAUAAUCCAUUCUGAUGUAAUUUUUGGGAAACUGGAAGGUCUUUGUCUAGAGUUGGUUUUGUAUGGCCAGUGCCUGCCUGUCAGGGACCAGGAUAUAUGAAGAAUUAUUGGGGCCAAAUUGUAUGACUUAUGCCCCACAGUCCCAAGGCCGAUGUAACCUGCCUUAGGAAACAGAAAAGCAUCCAUUUGAAAGCUGUAUGGAGAAUGCUCGUAAUCUCCCUACUCCUGUGGCAAGAUAACAUCUGCCAAGGACAGUGUAAAGAAUGGUAGUUCCUUAUUAACUUGGGGAGGCAUUGGAGUAUAGAGAAGAGCCUGUUCCCUUUCACACACUCCCCUUGUAAAAGUGUAACUUGUUCCCUAUUAUUCAAAUGUCGUUUCAACCAUUACUGUUCCAUGACCCCCUCUGCCUGUGCUUCUCGCUGGCUAAUAAAAGCCGGUCAGCCAUGGAGAUUGUCAAGUCUGUUCACUAGAGGCUGUCUAUUCCAGGUCCCCUUGCAUCUUGGAUAUUUCUUUGUUUCUUCUUCUUCCCGAUUGUCCCCCCUCACAGGUGUCCAGGGGUCUGAUCAGCCCUCGGCACCUGUCCACUUGUUCCAGCACCUCUCAUUAAAGACUCUCCUUUCUCUGUGAUUGGCCCUGGCUCCUUGGUGAGCUCUGUUGCUGAGGCCUGGUUCUGGGCUCUGUUCUUGGUGCUCAUCCGUGCCUGUCCUCCCAGCACCACCCUGCCAGAGCUUUCACUUUGAUCUCUGUCAGUAUUGUGUUUGCUCUUUUGGUCUUUCGACUCCAAAUAAACUUGAGAAUCUAUCUGAUGUCUUCAAAAUUGUUGGAUGGUUUUAUAUUGCAAUUGGUUAGAAUUGGUAGAUGGAGUAAUUUUGACAGUUGUGAGCUUUCUUCAUGUAUGUGGAUUAUGUCUGCAUUUGUGUAGCUGGUCAAGUCACUUAUACAUGUUUUGCUAGGUUCAUGUAUUAGAGUUUUAUUUAUUUUAUUAAUAGAAAUGGUAAUGUGUUAUCACUUCAAAUUCCAUGUGUUUGUUCCUGGUGCAGAUGACAGAGCAGGUGAUCUGUGUAUAUUACCCAUGUAUCCUGAACUCUUGCUAUGAAUGUUUUUUAUACCCAGGAAGUUUUUGUUGGUGCUAUCUCGUGAUUUUUAAAAAUACUACUGAUGCUAUUUUCAGUGGUAGGGAAUCCUCUUACCUUUGAGUUCUAGCCCUAGCCAAGUGGUUUUUGCUUGUUUGGUUUGUUUUUUAAUUUAAGCUAUUUCGUUCCCUUACCUCUUUUCAUUUGGUGUUUGCAUAUUUCUGUUGAUACUUUUUUGAGGUGAUGCAUCCUUUCUGAGCCAUCUCUAGUCUAUGGUGAGCCUGACAAAGGCCUUCUGCAUUUCUGUUCGGGUUGUUAAUAUCAUUUCCUUUCAGUCUUGUCUCUCUGCUUCCCUGUCCAUUGGGUAUCUUUCCGGUCAGACCUGUGGGCAUGUUCUUCAUGCUGCGGCGUUAAAUUCCUCUUCUGGUAACUCAGAAGGUCUGGAUGGUCUGCCAGCAAAAAUUGUCCUCUGUUUCCCAGUCUCUUCAAGUCACAGUGGUUUCUGCCCUUUUGCUGGGGAGUGCGGAGGCUGCUGACCCUGAGGAGGCUGGGGCAGCAGUUCAUGCAGGCCAUCUUUGUAACUUUUGGUAGCUCUUUCUGUAAAAAAAAAAGUAUUUGGAAUUUAUACUCAUGGCAUAUUCUUUACCAUUAUCUUGUAGGAUACUUCUAUUUUUAUUAAAUAAAUUAUAUUAAAUCUGAGCCUUUUAUGUGAAAAAAAAAAUCACACUGGCUCCUUGUCCAUGAACUUAAUUCUUUCCACAAUUCUGCUCACAGGCCAAACCGGUCACUAACCAAAUCAAAAUCAGUUGUUAGGUUCGAUGUUGACUUUGUGGGAAAAUUUGAUUUGGUUCACGACCAGAUUUUGAUUCAUUCAGUUUGUGACCAGAAUCAUGGAAUGAAUUAAGUUAGUGAACCUAGGUACCACUGUUUCUUGGAAGCCACCUGCAUGCAGCUGGAUGACAUGAGUGGAGGCUGAUCCAGUAUUCAGGGAGGAUUUGUGUUUCUCUUCUACAGUUCAGCUGUGUUUUUGGUGUGCUCUAGCUGUAGUUGCUGCAGACGAAAUUCUCCUGUGAGCUAUUUAUUUCUGUCUGCUCCACUGUCUCACAUUCUGUCUUUAUUUUUCACGUUUUGUUGUUUUGAGGCAGGGUCUCACUGUGUAGCCCAGGCUGGCCUUGAACUCCCAGCAAUCCUCCUGCCUCAGCCUCCCGAGUGCUGGGAUCACAGCUGUACUCCACUAUGCCUGGCCAUUCAUGUCCUCUUGAUAGUUCUGCUAAAAGUCUACACCUGCAGUUCUUCCAUUUGGCUCCUCUGCUCUGACACGAGAGCCCUGCUGGUGGGUGGGCAGGUGUGCAAGGAGAAGAAGCACAGCACAGGCCUGUGAUGCAGUGUCUGGUUCUCGUGAGCUUGAGCCCAGGGCUGUCACCUUCCCAGGGGUGUUUCGGUGUCCCUGCCUCCUCUGUUCGCUGUGCCCAGUGCCCUGAAUUCCCCUCUGGGCCACCUGAAAUAUUAGCAAGCACUAGUUCUCUAGCACUCUGAUGGAGUGCUCAUGUGCUCCAGCGGAAGUAGAGGAGGCCCCGUGCCCGUCCUCUGAUCCGUCCUAGAUAUUUUCAUUGCAGAGAAGCCCAGGGCCUGUGAUGGGGAUGGGGAGCUACUCUGUGCCUGACUGCACAUUUGUGAAUUUGCUUGCAGAGAUUCCAGAACAGGAGGAGGAUGGAAAAGAACAGCUGUUGCUGGGCCCCAGGUAACUAACUGGAUCGUCAGGGCUGGGACUUGCGUGGGGACCAGAGGAGGUGGGUCCCCGAGGGAGCAGACCAGGAGGUCUAGAGUGCCCAGAUUUCCCAUGCAGAAAGGUAACCUGAAAAUGGCACUUGGAGUUCAUUCUGCCAAGACAGGGGGACAACUUUCUAUCAAGGUGUGCGGUGUCCCCGUGGAACUCGUUUGUAUCCAAGUGGACCUAACCGGCCUCUGUUGGGUGGAGAAGCUGAGGCUGAGCUGUGGAUCUGGCUCUGUGCGGGUGUCCUUAGCGCGUUGGCAGGGAUUUCGUACUGAGGAACCUAAGAAGAUCAAAAUAUCUGUCAUUUCCUGCAUCUGUGGAAAGAGGCCCAGACUACACAAGGUCUUAGGACCCUGAUACCUCCGCGGCAGUGACUGAAACACAUAGAGGAGUCACAAUUUGUAGAGGGAA